UGCUGCCGCGACUCCGGCCUGGGCUUUUGGAGAGCGGCGAGGGGCCGGAGGAGGAGGAAGAGGGAGGGAGGGAGGAAAUGGGUGUAGCGUGCUGGGAGAAGGGAAUCGCCUCUCGCGUGGCUUAUUUUUAGAGUCUGCUGCUUCCUCCAGGCAAAUAAAGCCUCCUCCUCCUCUGCCGGGAUGAGGAGAUGCGCGCCCUCCCUUCCUCCCGAGACUUUAUCCAGACACUACAAUAUAAGCGAGGAGAAACAAACUUCCUGCUGUGAAAUCAAAUACUGUAAAAACAUUGCAAAGAAUCAAAACAAGAUCAAAGUACAAUAGCUAUAAACAGAAUGCUCCUUUAAAUCCAACAUUUAAGUUUUUAUUAUAUAAAAUAUGAGUGCUUAGCAUUGUGAUAUGCCCAAAUUUCUAUAAAAAUGUAUAUUUACUAUAUUUUUAUACCACUGUACUCUACAUAGAAUUGUGUACAAUAGAAACAAAGUUGUCAUAAAAUAUCAAAAUAAAAGCAAAUAUAGCAAUAUAUUAACACCAGUAAUACACAGUAUACCCAUACAACGAAAUUCACCUAACACCCAAAGACCAGGCCCAACACACAUAACAAUCCCCGGACACACCCCCACCCACCACAAAUUCCCCACCCCUAAACCACCCAAACAUCCACACAACAGACCAAGUAAUACUGUCCAACAGCUCACUGAUGGUGGCCCUGUAGUUCAUUGUUGAGUGCAAUUAUAGCUCUGGGAUAAAAAACUAUUCAGAAAAUGUGUGGUCCAAGUUUUAAUUGUUCUGUAUCUUCUACCAGAAGGCAACAGUCCAAAAAGAUUGUAAGCAGGAUGGGAAGAGUCUCUGAAAAUGUAACACAAUUUCCUCAAACAGCGAGAUUUGAAGAUGUCAUCCAGGUCUGGUAGCUGGAGUCCAAUGAUAAUAAGGAAGAUGUAUUACAGAAAAACCUACAUUACUUGCUCUCACCUAAAUGUCUCAUGUAGAAGGAACCCUUAGUAUUCUUACCAGGUAGUCCAAACAGGGUGGGUAGGAUCCAUUGGAAGCAGAUAGUCCUUUGGGUACUUAGGUGCCAAACAAUGUAGAGCUUUAGGUCAAACCCACCACUUUGAAUGGUAUCUAGUUUUCCAUUGAUUUGCAAUGCAGAACCCUCAACAUUGAUAUUAUGUAUAAGUAAUGGUAUCCAUCCACAAGCAAGCUACUGCAUCUGGAGCCAAUGCAUCUUUCGAAUACCCUUCAAAAACAGGUCACGUAGAGUAUAUUGCAGUAAUUGGAAGAUGACAAAUGUCAGUCAUUUCCAGGACUCCAGGAAAGUCCACAGCCAGCACACCACGCAAUUCUGGGCCAGGCCCCUCUAACAACAACCUCCAACUGUCUUAUCUAGCCAUGAGUCUAGAAGGACCACCAAGUCACAGACUGGCUCCUUCAUUGAGAGUGCUAUCCCAUCCAAAGUCACCAUUGGAGUAAACUCAGACCCAGAUGGCUAGGAGUAGUAGCUCAGACUUGCUGAGAUUCAGCCUCAGUUUCUUUCUCUCCAUAAAGAUAUUUACAGUCUCCAGGCACUGGGUUAGAAUUCCCAAUGCAUGUCCGGACUGAGAUGGAGAUGCAGGUCAGGGGUUCUGAUUAUACCAAUCUAAUAGAUUACUUCUCCCGUCAGCUUCUAUAUUCAUUAGCAGCAGAGAGGAACCUUGUGCCAUCCCAUUUUGGAGUAAUCAAUGAGUUAAUUCUCCUCCUCUAUACUGAAUCUGCCCAUUCAGGAAGGAGCAAAACCACUGCAACGCAGUGCCCAGACUUCCAAUCUUAGGAACUAAGGCCAAAUUUCAACCAAAAGUUUACUGGGUGGGGUCUUAAACCAUAAUGUAAUUUGUUUGAUUUGAGCACUACCGCUUAGUCUAUUCUGCACACCUAGCCAUUUAUAGUUUACUCAAUAAGUUAUGGUUUAAAAUAGCAUGUAAGCAAAGUCAUUCAGAGCUUAGUGGCAAGAGAUGCUACACUAUAUUCGGUGAGCAACAUUCAGAGGGUGUUCUUUUACGUACACCAUCUUGUUGCUCUCUAGUCUAACCCUGUCCUAACUGUAUCUUUUGAGCAAGAUAUAGAAACUCUCCAGUGCCGUCUGAAAAUGAAGUAAGCACAUUCUAAUAGCUCUAGUAUUAUAUUAACUGAACAGAAAGGAAAAUGAUCAGGACAGAAACAAAAAACAAGCUGCCCCAAAGCUGGCCUUUGGCUGAUUUGCAGGCAUCACAGCAGUCCUGAGAAGGAGGAAUAGAUUAAAGAAAAAACGUUCCAGCAGUCUCAUAUUGCUAGGGCUUAAGCAGCAUGCAUAUUUCAGAGCAGCAAUCUCAAGCCACUCUUAAUGGGCCAUAAGUGCACAUAUAGAAAUCUAGUUGUUUUUUCUCUUUAAAAAGUCAGAACUGUAGAACAAUAGCUAUAGCUUUCAUCACCCUGCUGUAAACCAUACCUGCUAAGUCAGUGUAUGUGUUUCCCCAGCAUGCUAAACCACAAAUAAGCAAACCAUGUGAUAAAUUAACACUAUGUUUGAACCAUAGUGUCCAUUAAAGAAGCAGAAUUUGUAGCCGAAAGAGCACUUGGUUAUAGGCUAACAGCAAAGAUCUUCACAUGAAGAAAUUAGUCAGUAAAACUUUUCUGGCAAUUCUUUACAAGUUGUUUUAAGUAGUUUAAAAUUGAACUAUUUCUGGGAUCAAACUUGAUCAUUUUGAGAUCUGUGUUUUAGUGAAAAGUAAAGUCCUUCCUUUUAUCACCUAAGAAUAUGACACAAGCACUUUGCUAUAGCAACCCGGCCCAUGAAAUAGAAUAAUGUUGAUAUUGGUUGCUAUGGUGAGUAAAACUGAGAUUGGUGGCUUUGCAUCAUUUAGAAGACGGGUUCUUGUCAAUAAGAGCCUUUACAAGGAUAUACCUGAGAUAAGGAUCAAGCUAAAAGUCCAAUCACUAAUAAAAAUUAAGUACAUAAAGUUAUGUAUUAUACAAAAUUAAUCACAUUCAGAUGAAUGAUUCAUAAUCUGUCUCCCAUAAAGAACUGAAACUGAACUGGUACUUAUUUAUUCUUCCCUCAACUGAUAAAACAUUCAUUGCACCUACCAAAUAUGCAUUAGACUUGAUAAAUCUAUUUAUUUUGCCUUUUGGUGACCAAGAAAGAAAGAGGAACCACAUUGCAUAUCUGCUGGAAUACAUUUGGUUCUAUAUGUAAUAUUUCUGAUAUUCAGGUUUAGCUUUCUUUUGAAGCUUUUUGUUGUCUAUCCUGCUGUAAAAUGUUCACAUGACUUAAAACCUUAAUAUCUAGAACAGGUUUUGCAUGUAGCCACUUGCAAAGAAUUAAGCACUUGAUAUUACACACUUGCUGUGAAAAAUAUGAACCAUGUUUUGAGAUUUUGAUUAUCCAGGUUCUUGUACAUGACAAUGACUUUUUCAAUUCAGCUGAUGAUCAGAUCACUUUCUUUAAUAAAAACAUGUGUUAAGACACUAAUCUGA